GCAUGUUUACGUCAGGAUAAAAUGUUGUCAAAAUUAUUCAUCUAGUUCAAUUAAGUUCUAUGAUGUAUAAAGUAUGUACUUGGCAAGAAAAAUACAAGGGGUUACCUGGAUAUAUGAUGCUGCAGUACACAUAUAUUUAUCUAACUAAAAUUAAGCCCACCACUUCCCGCUCUCAUAUUACUUCAGAAUCAUCAGUAUGAGAAAACAUUGAUACCCAUUACUUUAUACUGAUAAACUCCAUGCUCCGAGACAAGGUUGCACACGUCAUCGCCGACAAUUCCCUUCUCUUCUCGAAUCAACAUAUAACCAUGUUUUUAUCUUACAAGAGAAGGGAAUCCUCGCAAUCUGCUAGAUACAACAAGGUACUUUUGUAUGACGUGCCUGAGCCAUCAAUUUGCCGGUCCUUUUCUUCCUGAAACCAACAGAGACAACACCGACUGAUUUUCCAGCACGCAAUAGCUUCCCCUCAACUUCUAUUUCUUCCUGUAAAAAUAAAAGAAAUAGUUUACGGCAUGUCAAAUAACUAUUAAAAUAACAUAAGAGUGAAAAGACAAAGGUAUGUACAAAAUUAAUCAAGCCUUAUGAUGCUAUUCUAGCAAGAAACUGGCCAAAUCUGCCCUUUGGGGGGUAGGGGUGGGGGCAAAAAUUAUGAGAAAAGAUAACGCCCAUAUGUGUGGGUGUUUGCAAACCGUCCACACGCAUGAAUCUGCGUCUGUUUGUGCUUUGCAUUAAUCUUGGUAUUUUUUGAUAGUUUUUCUGUACCACGUAGGACUGAACUGGUGUGUCGGUAUUUAACCACUUCGCCCACACGGCCGUUUCUUUCUCAGCAGGAAUCUUUUUUGGUUUUCGGUUUAAAAAUGUUUUAUCAUGACAACUUCAGUGUAACAUCAUGACAACUGUUGAAGCACCCAUUUUUUUAAAUGUAACAUCAUGGCAACUGUUGUAACAUCAUGAAAUUUUUUUAAAUGUAGAAGAAAAAAUAGGUGAAACAUAUCAUGGCAACUUCAGUGUAAACACCAUGGCAUGGCAACUACAGUGUAACAUCAUGGCAACUGUUGUCCAAAAAAAUAAUUUAUCGAAAUAUAUUGAUAUGAGAUCUAGUUUCGAAGAUCUCGUCGCGAUGGAUUUAAUGAUAAAAACGGAUCUUCAAUCGGAUUUUUCAUUUACAAGAUAAAACAUUUUAAAAACUCAAAAUCCAAAAAGAUACCCACAUGCAUACAUGUGGUUUGGGCGUUAGCUAUUUUGCCCACACUCAGGCGUGUGAGCUAUUUCUCUUACACACCACACAAGAUGUAUGGGCAACACCCCUUAACACCCAGACGUGUGGGUGUUAUCAGGACCCAAAAUUAUAACCAAGCAACCUGAAAAGUACGUUUGGAUUUUUCAGAGCAAUAUUUGGACAACAUGACAAUAACUAUGAUCCUGAACUAAUUCUAGGAACCUCUUCAGAGCAAUAUCUGAACAAGAUGACAAUAAUUCAGAUCCUAAACUUAUUCUAGGAAACAUUUUGUACCCAGCUCCAGUCUGUAUUGAGCGAGUCAAAGGAAACAAAAAAUGAAUAACACCGUGUAAAUGCAGGCGCACUGAAUUCAACCAUCUUUUCUAAUUAGUACACACUUAUAUUCCUAUAAUAUUAAAAUGACUGGACGGUAAGAAGUGGUGGACCUUUUAUCUUGCCAAUUGAGAAAUAUUCAGUCGAGUAACAGACAAAAAAGAUCUCCACAUUUGAUCUGAACCAAUGAGAAAAGAGGGUCGUGUAUUUAACAUAGGUUCUGAAGUACGAGAAGAAUGCUCACCAAUUUGUUUCAGAUUCGAACUGAAUGCAUAAUAUCUUAGAUCGCGCAACCUAAGGUAAUGCAAAGAAAUAAAAUCAUACUAUUUAGGCAAUCCAAAUAGGCAUUGUAUGUACAGAAAAAUCAAAGGCGAAAUAGCAAAACAUCCAUGAAACUAAGCCAGUCACAUGAUGAUCAUAUUAAUGUCCACCUACAGCGGCCAAGUUUAGAAACCCCAAACGAGUGAGCAGAUGAAGCCAAGAAAAAGAAACACACUGAAGGGGAUCGGGAGACAGGGCCACCUACAUCGACCAAGUUUAGAAACCCCAAACAUGUGAGCAGAUCAAGCCAAGAAAAAAAAACACGAAAGGAGAUCGGGAGACACGACGGAGACCUUGAGGCGGGAAAGAGAGAUGGAGCGGGGUCGGGCUGCUUCUUCCCCUUACCUCUGCCCUCCCCCAUCUUCCCCACAAACCCCACAGCUGCUGCGUUGCUAGGCAUGGAGGGAGAGAGGAGCAGCAAAAGCAAGGACGCGGCGAGGAGGCAAAAACAGGCGGCGGACCUCCUUCAUCUUCCUUCCCCGUACCCGCACCCCACCGUCACUGGAGCUGCUCUUUUCCGGCUCGGAUCCGUUGUCUAGGUGUGUUUAUUUAGACUAACAUAGAUACUAGUAACAUAGAUGCC
rnacentral:lncRNA from 1 species